rnacentral:rRNA from 1 species
GGCACGACACCGGAGAGGGAGCCUGAGAAACGGCUACCACAUCCAAGGAUGGCAGCAGGCGCGCAAAUUACCCAAUCCCGACACGGGGAGGUAGUGACAAUAAAUAACAAUACGGGGUUCUUUAGGAUCUCGUAAUUGGAAUGAGUACAAUUUAAAUCUCUUAACGAGGAACAAUUGGAGGGCAAGUCUGGUGCCAGCAGCCGCGGUAAUUCCAGCUCCAAUAGCGUAUAUUAAAGUUGUUGCAGUUAAAAAGCUCGUAGUUGAAUUUCGGGGUUAGUAGGUUGGUCAUGCCUCUGGUAUGUACUGGUCUCACUGAUUCCUCCUUCCUGAUGAACCUUAAUGCCAUUAAUUUGGUGUUUUGGGGAAUUUGGACUGUUACUUUGAAAAAAUUAGAGUGUUUAAAGCAAGCUAACGCUUGAAUACAUUAGCAUGGAAUAAUGAAAUAGGACGUUCGAUCCUAUUUUGUUGGUUUCUAGGAUUGACGUAAUGAUUAAUAGGGAUAGUUGGGGGCAUUAGUAUUCAAUUGUCAGAGGUGAAAUUCUUGGAUUUAUUGAAGACUAACUACUGCGAAAGCAUUUGCCAAGGAUGUUUUCAUUAAUCAAGAACGAAAGUUAGGGGAUCGAAGACGAUCAGAUACCGUCGUANUCUUAACCAUAAACUAUGCCGACUAGGAUCGGAUGAUGUUAAUUUUUAAUGACUCAUC